UAUUUUCUUGUUGCAGGAACGUGCUUACAACAUUCCUAGAUCCGUAACAUACGAAGAUAGUCUAUUUCGUUAGGCUACAUCGUAUCAUCUGGUAUUAGAGCAUAGGUUGGAAUUGUUGUACUUUUCUUCUCCAAUAAGAAAAUUCAAAAUUCAAAACAAAAAAAUAUAUAUAUCAGUUUCGAAAAUUCAAAAAAAACAACAACAAAAAGAGAAAGAAAAAUCAGAUUCAAAAAUAAAAAAAUAAAAAAAAGAAAGGAGGAAUUGAAAUUUAUCAAGUUUGGGAAAGAAAAAAAAGUGUGUUUUGUUAUGUUGAAAUGUUGAAUAAUGUUUAGUUUUGUACUCUGUAAUUGCGAAGUUCUUGGAUAUCAACUGAAACGAACUAUUCUUAUUUGUUCGGUGCUAGGAACGUUGUAAAGCACUUCUUUGCAGUAAGAAACUAAAUUAUUUAAAUUCCAUCUUUUUUCCUUUGUUUAUUUUAUUUUCUUAUCCUUUCCCUUUGUUUAUUUAUUUUUU
rnacentral:lncRNA from 1 species